UCCACGCACACAAUUCCAGCCUUGCUUCCUUCUCCGAAUCCCCUGUUCCCACCGAACUCAGGAUCCGAUCUUACCUCCCAGCUCCUUCAUUCCAUUCUCUUCCCAGUAUCUGUAUCUUCGCGUCAUCACGGAUCAGGUCAUCAUCCCGAGCAUCACGAAAGAACACUUUUUCCUUAUCCCCUGCUUCAGCGGAACAGGAUUUGGAUCUUCCAAUCGCGAGCUUCACGACCAUGGAUCCAGAGAAUCAAGCCGUCCACGUCUCCGCGAAGCAGCUUCAGGCGUUUCCUCCGCGUGUCUUCCCUCCCGUCCGCGAUUCAAGGCCUCUUCCCUCCACGGAUGAUUUCAUCUCCCCUGCUCCAUCGUCCACAGAUUCUCCCAGUGUCCGUUCUCAUCAUCCCAAUCUUCUCCCGGAUAAGCUCCAGUCCCUGUAACCUCCCGCGUAUUCUCCGUGAUUCAUCCUCAUCUCCUCUCAACCAGGAAUAGAGGGGGAGUUGCAGCCUAUAAAAGGCCCAGGUGUGAACCGAGAAGGGCAUCCUUCUCCCCCCACCGGGGGGCAUUC
rnacentral:lncRNA from 1 species